AGUGAACGCUGGCGGUAGGCCUAACACAUGCAAGUCGAACGGCAGCACAGUAAGAGCUUGCUCUUACGGGUGUCGAGUGGCGGACGGUUGAGUAAUACAUCGGAAUCUACUUUUUCGUGGGGGAUAACGUAGGGAAACUUACGCUAAUACCGCAUACGACCUACUGGUGAAAGCAGGGGAUCUUCUGACCUUGCGCUAUUGUAUGAGCCUAUGUCGGAUUAGCUAGUUGGCGGGGUAAAGGGCCAACAAGGCGACGAUCCGUAGCUGGUCUGAGAGGAUGAUCAGACACACUGGAACUGAGACACGGUACAGACUCCUACGGGAGGAAGCAGUGGGGAAUAUUGGACAAUGGGCGCAAGCCUGAUACAGCCAUACCGCGUGAGUGAAGAAGGACUUAGGGUUGUAAAGCCUUUUUGUUGGGAAAGAAAAGCAGCAGGUUAAUACCCCGCUGUUCUGACGGUACCCAAAGAAUAAGCACCGGCUAACUUCGUG
rnacentral:rRNA from 1 species